UGGGGAAUAUUGGACAAUGGGCGAAAGCCUGAUCCAGCCAUGCCGCGUGAGUGAUGAAGGCCCUAGGGUUGUAAAGCUCUUUUGUGCGGGAAGAUAAUGACGGUACCGCAAGAAUAAGCCCCGGCUAACUUCGUGCCAGCAGCCGCGGUAAUACGAAGGGGGCUAGCGUUGCUCGGAAUCACUGGGCGUAAAGGGUGCGUAGGCGGGUUUCUAAGUCAGAGGUGAAAGCCUGGAGCUCAACUCCAGAACUGCCUUUGAUACUGGAAGUCUUGAGCUCGGGAGAGGUGAGUGGAACUGCGAGUGUAGAGGUGAAAUUCGUAGAUAUUCGCAAGAACACCAGUGGCGAAGGCGGCUCACUGGCCCGAUACUGACGCUGAGGCACGAAAGCGUGGGGAGCAAACA
rnacentral:rRNA from 1 species